GACGAACGCUGGCGGCGCGCCUAACACAUGCAAGUCGAGCGAGAACCGGGGCUUCGGCCCCGGGGACAGCGGCGAACGGGUGAGUAACACGUGGAUAACCUGCCCUCGGCACCGGAAUAGCCUGGGGAAACUCGGAUUAAUGCCGGAUAGCCCCACAUCCCUGCGGGGAACGUGGGAAAAGGUAGCUUCGGCCUCUGGCCGGGGAUGGGUCCGCGGUGGAUUAGCUUGUUGGCGGGGUAACGGCCCACCAAGGCGACGAUCCAUAGCUGGUCUGAGAGGACGAUCAGCCACACUGGGACUGAGACACGGCCCAGACUCCUACGGGAGGCAGCAGUGGGGAAUCUUGCGCAAUGGGCGAAAGCCUGACGCAGCGACGCCGCGUGCGGGAAGAAGGCCUUAGGGUUGUAAACCGCUUUCAGGAGAGACGAAGCCACUCGGGUUAAUAGCCCAGAGGGUGACGGUACCUCCAGAAGAAGCCCCGGCUAACUACGUGCCAGCCGCCGCUGUAAAAC
rnacentral:rRNA from 1 species